GAGAUGCCUGGCUGUAUAGGGCCGUAUUCUUCUCGUAUAUGCGGAUGUACCAUAUGGACCUGACUUCAAGCCAUGGUUCGGUCGACUAGACGCAUCAGGCCCGAGCCUUCUUAAAUUUGGAUUCAUACGGUGCAUCUGUAUAUACGAGAAGAUACGGCCGUAUAUAGCCAGUAUCUCGAUU